GAUGAACGCUGGCGGCGUGCCUAAUACAUGCAAGUCGAGCGAACAGACGAGGAGCUUGCUCCUCUGACGUUAGCGGCGGACGGGUGAGUAACACGUGGAUAACCUACCUAUAAGACUGGGAUAACUUCGGGAAACCGGAGCUAAUACCGGAUAAUAUAUUGAACCGCAUGGUUCAAUAGUGAAAGACGGUUUUGCUGUCACUUAUAGAUGGAUCCGCGCCGCAUUAGCUAGUUGGUAAGGUAACGGCUUACCAAGGCGACGAUGCGUAGCCGACCUGAGAGGGUGAUCGGCCACACUGGAACUGAGACACGGUCCAGACUCCUACGGGAGGCAGCAGUAGGGAAUCUUCCGCAAUGGGCGAAAGCCUGCCGGAGCAACGCCGCGUGAGUGAUGAAGGUCUUCGGAUCGUAAAACUCUGUUAUUAGGGAAGAACAAAUGUGUAAGUAACUAUGCACGUCUUGACGGUACCUAAUCAGAAAGCCACGGCUAACUACGUG
rnacentral:rRNA from 1 species